CGGCCCGGCCGGGGCCCAUGGCGAGCUGCCGGGUAGGUAAAAGUAAAAAAGUUGUUAAGAGGCGCGGUGUCGGCGUGCUUGUAUUUGCGGGAGAGAAUUAUCUGGAGGUGCUGGGUAGCCGGGAAGACUUGGACGGAUCUGGCCCGGGAAUGGGUCUGGGCCUGGAUUCUGGUGUGGUGUAGGGUAGGCGUAGAUAGAUGAGUGGUCUAGGGUAGAUACAGGGUAGCCAGAAGUCUGGUAUAUAGUAUGGGGGUGUAGGGUAGGUCUGGACACCGGUUUCCACUUCGCCCUUCCCUUUACUCGAGGGAGGACGAUCUUGGCUGGGACGGAGGUGUAGGGUAGGCUUAAUUUACGAUUACAUGAUCUGUGUCACUCUAGGGUAGGUGAAAAUCCCAUAUAUAUAUGAUCACAUUUGGUGAAGAGGUGGUUUGGCUGGUGAGAUGGACAAAAGUGCAAUAUAGAAUUAUAUGUGAUUUUGCAAAAGUGGGUGUGAAAUUGGGAAAUCGGUUUUCCCGCACAGAUGAGAGCACGUUUGAGGUGCCAUGAGAUGCACCUCUCCGAGACGACCUCAACGGUACCGCCGAUGUGUUGGUCGGGCUCCUGUGCGGCCGUCCAGGGCGGGAUAAGUAGAGAAUGUGGUGGUGUAGGGUAGGUGACCAGGUCCAGGGUAGGUUCGCCAAAUCCGUCAAUCCGGCUUGAAUCGAAGGACAGGUCUAGGGUAGGCCAGAGUCGGGUCUAGGGUAGGCAACCCUCACCCUCGAAGUGGUCUACCCGGUAGCCAACUUCAAUCGCCUCUCACGGCCGCCACGGACCUCGAAUGACGACGGGACUACCACCAUCGGAUUCGCCUUGGUCGAAAUAGCUGGUAUAUGCACUUUUGAAAAAAUGCGUGCAAAAUGGUUUUGUGGUUUGGUGGCCGUGAGUCGAUUUUUUUGUUUUCACAUACAAAUGAAUUUUGCGGAAAAUAAAAAGUGGCCCACGAGGCAGUCCUGGCGUGCGGCCCACUAAAACGGUCUCGGAGGGUAUAUGAGAAGGGAGCAAAUCCGGCCGAGCCUGAAAGGGUGAGGACAAACCGGGCGAGCAACCUCUCAGUAUCAGAUCUUGCAGACUUCCACUGCGUGUCCCUCUGUACAGCUUUGCAGGCUCCGGCCUCGGCAGCGGGGGGUUCAUAGUGGUCGUCGACCUCCACGAAACUGCACGCUCCGGCGUGACAGCGUACUGGGGAUGCCUGUGUAGAUGCAGUCCGGGCUUGCCUGGACCGCUAGCAGAUGGGCUCUGUGGAUGACUGGCCGCUGGCUAGACCUGAAACCUGAGCAACGGGAGGUAACCUCUCGCCGCGGACACCGGAAUGGUAGAAGCGGCGUGCUGCGUCCUCCUCUUGGGGCCCCUAAGCCACACCUCCCAUAGCGGGUUCGGUGCGGCGGACGGACGCCCUGGGGAAUUUAGAGGGGGAAAGCGGAUUGCCCUAGCGGUGCUGUUGGCCCUGCCGACCUCACUGCGAAAGGCGCGACUUCACCGUCGCCACCCAGUAACUUGUC
rnacentral:misc_RNA from 1 species